rnacentral:rRNA from 1 species
GGAGUUAGCCGGUGCUUCUUCUGCGAGUAACGUCACAGAUGUAAGGUAUUAACUUACACCCUUUCCUCCUCGCUGAAAGUGCUUUACAACCCGAAGGCCUUCUUCACACACGCGGCAUGGCUGCAUCAGGGUUUCCCCCAUUGUGCAAUAUUCCCCACUGCUGCCUCCCGUAGGAGUCUGGGCCGUGUCUCAGUCCCAGUGUGGCUGAUCAUCCUCUCAGACCAGCUAGGGAUCGUCGCCUAGGUGAGCCUUUACCUCACCUACUAGCUAAUCCCACCUGGGCUUAUCCAUCAGCGCAAGGCCCGAAGGUCCCCUGCUUUCCCCCGUAGGGCGUAUGCGGUAUUAGCAGUCGUUUCCAACUGUUAUCCCCCACAAAUGGGCAAAUUCCCAGGCAUUACUCACCCGUCCGCCGCUCGUCAUCUUCAAAAGCAAGCUUUUGAAAUGUUACCGCUCGACUUGCAUGUGUUAGGCCUGCCGCCAGCGUUCAAUCUGAGCCAGAAUCAAACUCU